rnacentral:rRNA from 1 species
AUUGAACGCUGGCGGCAGGCCUAACACAUGCAAGUCGAGCGAGCGGCGGACGGGUGAGUAAUGUAUGGGGAUCUGCCCGAUAGAGGGGGAUAACUACCGGAACCGGUGGCUAAUACCGCAUACUAUCGGAUGAACCCAUAUGGGAUUAUCUAGUCGGUGGGGUAAAGGCUCACCUAGGCGACGAUCCCUAGCUGGUCUGAGCGGAUGAUCAGCCACACUGGAACUGAGACACGGCCCAGACUCCUACGGGAGGCAGCAGUGGGGAAGAUUGCACAAUGGGCGAAAGCCUGAUGCAGCCAUGCCGCGUGUAUGAAGAAGGUCUUAGGAUUGUAAAGGACUUUCAGCGGGGAGGCGUUACCCGCAGAAGAAGCACCGGCUAACUCCGUGCCAGCAGCCGCGGUAAUAC